GAGUUUGAUCAUGGCUCAGAUUGAACGCUGGCGGCAUGCCUUACACAUGCAAGUCGAACGGCAGCAUGAUCUAGCUUGCUAGAUUGAUGGCGAGUGGCGAACGGGUGAGUAAUACAUCGGAACGUGCCCUGUAGUGGGGAUAACUAGUCGAAAGAUUAGCUAAUACCGCAUACGACCUGAGGGUGAAAGUGGGGGACCGCAAGGCCUCAUGCUAUAGGAGCGGCCGAUGUCUGAUUAGCUAGUUGGUGGGGUAAAGGCCCACCAAGGCGAUGAUCAGUAGCUGGUCUGAGAGGACGAUCAGCCACACUGGGACUGAGACACGGCCCAGACUCCUACGGGAGGCAGCAGUGGGGAAUUUUGGACAAUGGGCGAAAGCCUGAUCCAGCAAUGCCGCGUGUGUGAG
rnacentral:rRNA from 1 species